AUGCGCUUCAAGCUUCUCUGCUGUGUGUUCCUUUGGUCUUGGGGAUCAGGUUCUGAGGUCACCCAGACUCCUCGACAUCUAAUCAAAGAAGAAAAGCAGAAAGCCAAGAUGGAUUGUGUCCCUGUGAAAACGCAUACUCACGUGUUCUGGUAUUACCAGAAGCCAGGAGAAGAGAUCAAGUUUUUGGUUUACUUACUAAGUCAAGAUAUUACUGACAAAACAGAAGGAUUUGAGGAGAGAUAUUCAGCUCAAUGUCCCCCAAACUCACCCUGCAGCCUGGAAAUCAAGUCCAGUGAAGCCGGGGACUCGGCAUUUUAUUUCUGUGCCAGCAGUCAAUCACAGUGCUGCAUGUUCGCUUUCCGUAGAACCACAAACUCACCAUGGACCCAGCUCAGGAAACAGGAGCUACUGUUAAGUGGUUGGAGCUAA